rnacentral:rRNA from 1 species
GCCUGAGGAUGAGCCCGCGUCUGAUUAGCUAGUUGGUGGGGUAAUGGCCCACCAAGGCGACGAUCAGUAGCUGGUCUGAGAGGAUGAUCAGCCACACUGGGACUGAGACACGGCCCAGACUCCUACGGGAGGCAGCAGUGGGGAAUUUUCCGCAAUGGGCGAAAGCCUGACGGAGCAACGCCGCGUGAGGGAUGAAGGCCUCUGGGCUGUAAACCUCUUUUCUCAAGGAAGAAGACAUGACGGUACUUGAGGAAUAAGCCACGGCUAAUUCCGUGCCAGCAGCCGCGGUAAUACGGGAGUGGCAAGCGUUAUCCGGAAUUAUUGGGCGUAAAGCGUCCGCAGGCGGCCUUGUAAGUCUGUCGUUAAAGCGUGGAGCUUAACUCCAUUUCAGCGAUGGAAACUACAAGGCUUGAGUGUGGUAGGGGCAGAGGGAAUUCCCGGUGUAGCGGUGAAAUGCGUAGAUAUCGGGAAGAACACCAGUGGCGAAGGCGCUCUGCUGGGCCAUAACUGACGCUCAUGGACGAAAGCCAGGGGAGCGAAAGGGAUUAGAUACCCCUGUAGUCCUGGCCGUAAACGAUGAACACUAGGUGUCGGGGGAAUCGACCCCCUCGGUGUCGUAGCUAACGCGUUAAGUGUUCCGCCUGGGGAGUACGCACGCAAGUGUGAAACUCAAAGGAAUUGACGGGGGCCCGCACAAGCGGUGGAGUAUGUGGUUUAAUUCGAUGCAACGCGAAGAACCUUACCAGGGUUUGACAUCCUGCGAAUCCCUUGGAAACGAGGGAGUGCCUUCGGGAGCGCAGAGACAGGUGGUGCAUGGCUGUCGUCAGCUCGUGUCGUGAGAUGUUGGGUUGAGUCCCGCAACGAGCGCAACCCACGUCUUUAGUUGCCAGCAUUCAGUUGGGCACUCUAGAGAGACCGCCGGUGAUAAACCGGAGGAAGGUGUGGAUGACGUCAAGUCAUCAUGCCCCUUACAUCCUGGGCUACACACGUACUACAAUGCUACGGACAAAGGGUUGCAAGCUCGUGAGAGUUAGCUAAUCCCAUAAACCGUGGCUCAGUUCAGAUCGUAGGCUGCAACUCGCCUACGUGAAGGAGGAAUCGCUAGUAAUCGCAGGUCAGCAUACUGCGGUGAAUACGUUCCCGGGCCUUGUACACACCGCCCGUCACACCAUGGAAGUUGGCCAUGCCCGAAGUCGUUACUCCAACCCUC